rnacentral:rRNA from 1 species
UACGUAGGGGGCAAGCGUUGUCCGGAAUCAUUGGGCGUAAAGCGCGUGUAGGCGGCUUGGUAAGUCUGCUCUGAAAGCCCGGGGCUCAACCCCGGGAGGCGGGUGGAUACUGUCAAGCUCGAGUCCGGAAGAGGAGUGUGGAAUUUACGGUGUAGCGGUGAAAUGCGUAGAUAUCGUAAGGAAGACCAGUGGCGAAGGCGGGUCUCUGGACAGUUCCUGACGCUGAGGCACGAAGGUCAGGGGAGCAAACGGG